ACUCUAAUUUCUUAAAAGAAAAAUCCCAUUUUCUUUUCUUUGUUCUUCCACGUUCUCUUUCCUCUCACCAAAUCUCAUCUACUGAUUUUUCAAGACGAUCUCAAGCAAGAGGAACUUUUGGAUUUUAAGCAACCCACUCUCCAAUUUCAGCUAGCAGUCGUCCCGCAAAGCUAGGCGACUCUAUUCUAAGAACGUCGGGCCUAAGUGGCACCCCACCACCUCGGUGGCAACCCGGAAGAUCGUUGCGGCAACGAUGGCUGGUAACCAGAACUACCCUGACGGUGGCACUGUCCAUGAGAAUAGUAGAAGAUAGGAAUUGGCUUGGUGAACUAAGCUGCGAAAGCUAGGGAUGCAAAGGUCCAAGAAGCAGCCUUGAGGACAAUGCCUGUUAUUGUUGUGCCCAUUACAGGGCGAAUGAUACAUCAUUUCCCGAAUUCAGUGUCUUCUAUCAAGAGUAAGUUUGUGUAUUAGGCUAAGAGAGCUGGUUCAAAGUUGAGGGGUUGCAGAACAAUCAAUAUCCAAGGGGUGCCAGACAAUUAAGCAGCUGGAAGGCCGAGUUGCGGUGGUUCUUCAGGCAGUAGGGUUUGCACUCAUCAUUUUGAAGAUCUUCAGCCUAACUAUGCAUCUUAGUCGAACGAGAAUUUCAUGCAGGGAAGACCGAGCCAAAAGAAAAGAUAAAAUAUAAUCUACAAAGGAUAUUACGUGGCAGUGGAGGUGUUUUUCGUGGUCCUCAGCUCUUUGACUUUAAAUGAACUUGAUUUUGUAUGAGGAUGAUGCAUGGAGAGGUGGAUGGUUGCAUGGAUGUGUCUGGUAAUAAAUAUUGUGAGCAUUCCAACUUUGGCAGGGACUAGGGAGGAAGCUAAAAAAGAACAAAACAAGGGAAAACAAGUCAGUCCAAGCGUUACUCAAUUUGUCACUCUAAUUGAUAAAAGAGAAAUCAACUCUAGGAAAUGGGAAAAGACAGAAUGGAUUUUUAGUGGAUAGAUCCUAAAGCCAAAGGAGUGGUGAUUAAGGAUACUGAUAACACAACAUGGGAGAGAAACAAACGGCUAAAGACAAGAGGAUGAAGAAACAGAUUCAGAUGAUGAAGUUGAGAUGGUGAAAAAACAUUAGGAGAAAGAUAAAUUCAUUGAGAAACUCUUGAAGGGAAGACAUCAAUUACAAGGCUAUGCUUGGCUUCUAGCAGGCUACAUUCAGUUGGGAAGGAAAAAUCCCAGUGAGAUCGUUUCAAAUGCUCUUUCUUAUGGUAAUAUGGAAGCUGGUUCAGUAAUAAUAUCAUUUUGAAGGUAGCUGAAGCAGUCUUAUUGGAGGAAACCAUGGUCCCUGAGACAGUGAUGGAGAUAAAAGUUGCUAAGCAAAUUUUAGUACUGAGAGCUCUGUCAAGGUAACCCAUUUUCGCUGCUCUUUCUUUUUGUACCCAGUGUUUUUCGCUUAUUUUUUUUGGUGUGAUAAUUUUACUUAUCAUGUCUUAGUUUGCAGUCUAGUUUUUUUUUUAUACUUUCUUUUACUGCACAAUUUCAUGAUUUUCCACAUUUUGUAGUUCUGUUCCCAUCUGCAUCCUGUGUUCUUGUGUGCACAAUUUUAGUACCUUCGUUUUGUGUCUGGUUAUUUGUCCUGUAUUUGAUAUACUAGUGUUGUAUAGUAUUGUUUUGAUCCCAUUUAGUCGA